rnacentral:rRNA from 1 species
AGUGAACGCUGGCGGUAGGCCUAACACAUGCAAGUCGAACGGCAGCACGGUAAGAGCUUGCUCUUACGGGUGGCGAGUGGCGGACGGGUGAGGAAUACAUCGGAAUCUACUUUUUCGUGGGGGAUAACGUAGGGAAACUUACGCUAAUACCGCAUACGACCUACGGGUGAAAGCAGGGGAUCUUCGGACCUUGCGCGAUUGAAUGAGCCGAUGUCGGAUUAGCUAGUUGGCGGGGUAAAGGCCCACCAAGGCGACGAUCCGUAGCUGGUCUGAGAGGAUGAUCAGCCACACUGGAACUGAGACACGGUCCAGACUCCUACGGGAGGCAGCAGUGGGGAAUAUUGGACAAUGGGCGCAAGCCUGAUCCAGCCAUACCGCGUGGGUGAAGAAGGCCUUCGGGUUGUAAAGCCCUUCUGUUGGGAAAGAAAAGCAGCAGGUUAAUACCCCGCUGUUCUGACGGUACCCAAAGAAUAAGCACCGGCUAACUUCGUG